CAUUCAUGGAGAGUUUGAUCCUGGCUCAGGACGAACGCUGGCGGCGUGCCUAAUACAUGCAAGUCGAGCGGACUUUGCCUUCG
rnacentral:rRNA from 1 species